CUUGGUUAUGUGUUCAAUUUCAAGUCAAGGGUAUAUGGAUUGGGAUGAUGAUUGGAGUUGUCACUGAAACAGUAGCACUUAGCUUCAUGACAUGGAAAACUAAUUGGAAUGAAGAGGUAUCGAUAUCUUCAGCUCGUCUGAAAAGAUGGUCCUCGAAAUCGAGGGAUGAUAAUAAGCAACAUUCUUGAUCAUGCUUCAGUUGGUGUUGUGGAAAUUAUUAUUAUUAUUAUUAUUAUUUCUGAAAAAUAAGUGCAUAUAAGUGAAUAAAAUAAUGGGUAAAUUACAAAAACCCCCUUGAACUUAGGCUAAAUAACAAAAAACACCCCUACGUAUACGUAAUUACCAAAAAACCCCUAGAGGUUUGUUACCGUCUCAUACCAAACCCCUUACUGUGUGACUUUUCGAGGAUUUUUUUUUUUUAAUUCCAGGGAAUAGACUUUACACAA